UCUAAGAAUAUUCCGCAAUGGACGAAAGUCUGACGGAGCGACGCCGCGUGGAUGAGGAAGGCCGAAAGGUUGUAAAGUCCUUUUGUCGAUGAAGAAUAAGUGGUGGAGGGAAUGCCAUCAUGAUGACGUUAGUCGGCGAAUAAGCCCCGGCUAAUUACGUGCCAGCAGCCGCGGUAACACGUAAGGGGCAAGCGUUGUUCGGAAUUAUUGGGCGUAAAGGGUACGUAGGCGGUUAUGUAAGCCCGGCGUGAAAUCCUGCAGCUUAACUGUAGAGCUGCGCUGGGAACUGCGUAACUUGAGUCAUGGAAGGGAAGUUAGAAUUCCAGGUGUAGGGGUGAAAUCUGUAGAUAUCUGGAAGAAUACCGGUGGCGAAGGCGAACUUCUGGCCAAUGACUGACGCUGAGGUACGAAAGUGCGGGGAGCAAACAGGAUUAGAAACCCGAGUAGUCC
rnacentral:rRNA from 1 species